CACGUAGGGCGCGAGCGUUGUCCGGAAUUAUUGGGCGUAAAGAGCUCGUAGGCGGCCUGUUGCGUCCGCUGUGAAAGCCCGGGGCUUAACCCCGGGUCGGCAGUGGAUACGGGCAGGCUAGAGGUAGGUAGGGGAGAAUGGAAUUCCCGGUGUAGCGGUGAAAUGCGCAGAUAUCGGGAGGAACACCGGUGGCGAAGGCGGUUCUCUGGACCAGCACUGACACUGAGGCACGAAAGCGUGGGGAGCAAACAGG
rnacentral:rRNA from 1 species